UUCUGGAUCAUUACUGACACUGAGGAACGAAAGCAUGGGUAGCGAAGAGGAUUAGAUACCCUCGUAGUCCAUGCCGUAAACGAUGUGUGUUAGACGUUGGAAAUUUAUUUUCAGUGUCGCAGGGAAACCGAUAAACACACCGCCUGGGGAGUACGACCGCAAGGUUAAAACUCAAAUGAAUUGACGGGGACCCGCACAAGUAGUGGAGCAUGUGGUUUAAUUCGAAGAUACGCGCAGAACCUUACCAACACUUGACAUGUUCGUCGCGACUCUAAGAGAUUAGAGUUUUCGGUUCGGCCGGACGAAACACAGGUGCUGCAUGGCUGUCGUCAGCUCGUGUCGUGAGAUGUUGGGUUAAGUCCCGCAACGAGCGCAACCCUCACUUUUAGUUGCCAUCAUUAAGUUGGGCACUCUGAAAGAACUGCCAGUGAUAAGCUGGAGGAAGGUGGGGAUGACGUCAAGUCCUCAUGGCCCUUACGUGUUGGGCUACACACGUGCUACAAUGGCAUCUACAACAGGAAGCAAAACGGCAACGUUAAGCAAAUCCCGAAAAGAUGCCUCAGUUCGGAUUGCACUCUGCAACUCGAGUGCAUGAAGCUGGAAUCGCUAGUAAUCGCGUAUCAGCAAUGACGCGGUGAGUACGUUCCCGGGCCUUGUACACACCGCCCGUCAAGCCAUGGAAGUUGGGAGAACCUAAAGUCGAUAACCGCAAGGAGUCGCCUAGGGUUAGACCAAUAACUAGGGCUAAGUCGUAACAAGGUAGCCGUA
rnacentral:rRNA from 1 species